rnacentral:misc_RNA from 1 species
GAACGCACAUUGCACCCUCUGGUAUUCCGGAGGGUAUGCCUGUUUGAGCGUCAUUUCUCUCUCAAACCUUAGGGUUUGGUAUUGAGUGAUACUCUCUUCUGGGUUAACUUGAAAUAGUGUACUGGCAAGAGUGUGCUUUUGUGGCCUCUUGACUGAGAUAAUGUAUUAGGUUCUACCAACUCGUUAUAGCAGCUCAAUUGUCCCUUUGGCAUAUCAGCUCGGCCUGACAACUCCUUCUAAAGUUUGACCUCAAAUCAGGUAGGACUACCCGCUGAACUUAAGC